rnacentral:rRNA from 1 species
CCUACGGGAGGCAGCAGUGAGGAAUAUUGGUCAAUGGUCGGGAGACUGAACCAGCCAAGCCGCGUGAGGGAGGAAGGUACAGAGUAUCGUAAACCUCUUUUGUCAGGGAACAAAGACUGGGACGCGUCCCCGGAUGAGUGUACCUGAAGAAAAAGCAUCGGCUAACUCCGUGCCAGCAGCCGCGGUAAUACGGAGGAUGCGAGCGUUAUCCGGAUUUAGUGGGUUUAAGGGGUGCGCGGGCGUUCUUGUAAGUCAGCGGUAAAAGCGCGGGGUGCAACCCCGGCCCGCCGUUGAAACGGGCAGUCUCGAGUUGGAGAGAAGUAUGCGGAAUGCGCGGUGUAGCGGUGAAAUGCAGAGAUAUCGCGCAGAACUCCGAUUGCGAAGGCAGCAUGCCGGCUCCACACGGACGCUGAGGCACGAAAGCGUGGGUAUCGAACAGGAUUAGAUACCCUAGUAGUC